rnacentral:lncRNA from 1 species
GCUUUUUAGUGCUGUACCUGUGGCAUAUAGAAGUUCCCAGGCUAGGAGUUGAAUCAGAGCUACAGCUGCUAGACUACACCACAGCCACAGCAAUGCCAGAUCCGAGCCAUGUCUGCAACCUACACCACAGCUCCCGGCAAUGCCAGAUCCUUAACCCACUCAGCGAGGCCAGGGAUAGAACCUGCAUCCUCAUGGAUACUAGUCGGGUUCGAACCCACUGAGCUACACUGGGAACUCCCCCAACCAACAUCUUCAUUGUAACUUCAUGAGACCUCCUGAGUCAGAACUACCCAUCUAAGCUGCUGAAUUCCUGACCCAGAGACAACUGUGGAGUUAAUGCUUGUUGUUUGCUAGUUAUAAAAAAUGUAACUAAUACACUUUAUAAUCAGCCUCCUUGGAUCAGCAAUUGCUUUGGGGUUGAGCUGCCCCCAUCUCCUUUCCCUGGCUGUGGUCACAGAGAAUCUGCAUUGAAGAGGGUCCAGGCCCUGUGGAUCUGGACAUGAAAGAAAGAAAAAUAGCUAAUAUGUGCCAUCUGCCAGGCAUGGAGCUAAGCAGUUUCCAUUCAUCUUCCUACUAAAAAUCCCAAUACCGUCAUCCUCAUUUUACAGAUGGGAAAACAGGUGUCAAAAGGUUGAGAAGCCACCCAAGAUUACACAGGGUGGGAGCAGAGCUGGGGAUUGAAUCAAACUCCACAAUUCCAGCCCCCGGAAGUACUGAGUGACCUCUUGAAGGGGACAGUGGCUCAAGGGCCCAUUCCCUUCUCCUGUCCACCCUCCCCCAGCUCCCACCACCCACUUGCUCUCCUGUGAGGGUAACUAAUCCCACCCAGCCUGUUGUCCCUUAGCCAAGGCAGUGCCUCUGCCCUCUCCCUGUUGCCAAGUGAGCACACCCCUCACCUGCCCCAGUGCAGGUCACUGGGCAUGUUCAUGGUGAAAUGUCCCUUCUGGAGCCCAGCCCGCCUCCCACUGGUUCAGAUUCAAAGACAGGCCCAGAGAGGUGCAGUGGUUUAUCUAAUGGGCACAACAUUGUAAGGCAACUACACUUUAAUUUUAAAAAUUUUAAAAAGACAGAGGCAGCAGGAGCUCCCUCUGUGGCACAGUGGGUUAAGAACAUGACCAUAGGAGUUCUCUGAUAGCCUAGCAGGUUGAGCCUCCUGUGUUCUCACUGCUGUGGCUCUAGUUGCUGCUGUUCGGCAUAGGUUCAAUCCCUGGUCCAGCAAUUCCCACAUACUGCCUGCAUGGCAAAAAAAGCAAAAAAAAAAAAAAACCCAAAACAAGAGAGAGACUGAAAUAAACGUUGCAACUUCCAUUAAAUAAUAAUAAUAAUAAUCUGACUGCAGUGGCUCAGGUCGCUACAGAGGCCAGAGGGAUCCCCACCCCAGUGUUGCCGCAGCUGCAGGGUAGGUCACAGCUGCGGCUCAGAUUCAAUCUCUGGCCCGAGAACUUCCACAUGCUAUGAGUGCGCCCACUAAAAAAAAAAAAAAAAGACAAGACAGUAGCAGCAGAGAGAACACUGAGGCUGGAACCCAGAUCUCCUGGCCCCUCUCAACCCAGCCUGCACCCUGGGGCUGCCUUUCCCAGUGUCACCUGCCCUGUACCCAGGGUAGGUUCCACUCACCUGCCCAGAUACUGGGGAUUAGAACUUGAGGCCAAACUUCCCAGCAUCCUCCACUGCCCCCGGGCACUGAGGGAGCCAGGCAGAGGGGGCUUAUCUCUACCUGUGAGGUGGUGUUGCCUCUCCCCAACCUCCCCCCCUCCAACCUCCGCCAGGCAGCCUUGAUUAAUGGGCUGGUGCUAUCUUAUCUCCCAGCUGCAGCAGUUAAGGAUUAAUGGGUGGUGGCAGGGCCCCGGGAGGACACAUCCUGCCCCCAGAUCAACCUAAGGCUCUGCAGGAGGGCGGGGAGCAGGAGGAAAGGGGACCAGGGGGGGUCUCUGCAAAGCCCCCAGGACAGGGCCUGGCUCUCAAGUGGGGCUCAGUAAAUGGUAGCCGUGGCUACACUCUGCUGUCAUUAGCUCUUGGAGGCCUUGGGCCCGUGGCUGCCCUGUGGUUGACCAAAGUCUCCACCACUGCACAGCCCAUGGACUAACUAGGAAGCCACCUCCCCGUCCAGCCUCAGGUGCCCCGUCUAUAAAAUGGGCACAAGACUGGGCUUUGGAAAUGGGGUUGUAGGUCUGACGUUAUUUUAUUGAGUGAACCGGGAGUGGGUUUGGGGGUUUAUUUAUCCAGAGGUGAGGCUUUAGAAAACCGCUUCACACUCAGCCUCGAUUUCCUCAUCUGUAAAAGGGGUGUGAUAAUAUCUGCAUUGCCCACUACAUGGCAUUGCUAGGAAGAAACAACUUCUGGAAAGCCCUGCAGGGACGGUUCUGUGUCAUCCUGGGUGUGAGCUCCCAGACACUAAACUCUGACCGAGAGGCUCAUGUGGAUGCAAGUUGCUACUGACACAACCAACCCCAAACCCAGGCUCAGCUUUGGGAGAGAAGGCGGUUUGAGUCACAGGCCCUCCCGCCAGGGCUGAGGAAGGGGGACCAGACAUUCUGCUGUGCCCAGGACAGUCCCAGACUAUCCCACUGCCCAGGCGCGAUCGUUCAUAGCACCCCCUCUCCAAGGGUCCCCCUCUUGGAGAUCCAGUUAUGCGGUCCCUGGGCUGGAGGAACAAAGUUCUAGCUGCCUCAGGGAGAGAAAUUCCACCAAGUCUUGAGCAAGCGGCCAGCAUGUCUGAAGUCAGGCAUCCAACCCUACCAGGGCCAAGCAGGGCCCAGACUCCGAAGCCCAUGGCUCACAGGACUCCCCCCAACCCCCUCCCUAGUUUGCUCAAGAAACACGUGGUAAUUAUACAGGGAAAAGAAAGAUAUCAAGAUGCGUGAGGGGGAAGGGGGAGGUACUUUCAAAUGAAUAGACAAAAAAUGGAUGCAUGGAUGCAUGGAUGGAUGGAUGAGGGCAGGAAUGAAGAGAUGAAUGGCAGAGUCUCACUGGCCCCUAGCCUUUGACAGAGCACAGCAAACAGGCAGCCGAGCAGAGGGCUCUCUUUCCAGAAGGACAUACAGAUUGACCCUCUGGGGCCCCGGGGAAGCCAGUCUCCCCCCACCCCACUCCAAGACAUUCCUAAGACCCCCCCUUUCGCUUCACCCUCUGCCUCUUCCCACUGCCCCAUCCCAAAGGGCAAAGGGCAGCACAGCCAGGAAAGCUAUCUGCUCUCAGCCCCAUUUAUCCCAGUCCUGUUUACUCUGGGUCUGCAAUUAACAGAGUUUCCAUCUCAGAUCAAUUAAUAAUGGGGGGCCCAAAGAGGGCACCAGGGGGGCCCCGACAGGCCAUGUUACUCAUUGUAAACAAUGGGCAAUGGAUGAAAACUAGUCCCUAACCCUUUUCUGAGGUGUCCCAUCAGCCACUUCCUCAGACUCCCAAAGAGGCACCCAGGUCCCAGACUCAGAAGGGCUGACAUUGGAUAGCACUAGAGAAAGCCCUGCCUCAAGGUGUUCAGGUCUACGCAGGUGCAGCCGGGGUCCUGGAUCUGCCUUCACCUGGGAAGCUCCCAGGAUUAGGACCAAAAGACUGUCUAGCCUCAUAGUGAAGAUCAUAGGCCCUGGGAAGGGAUCAGACCCAAGUUCAUAGACCCGUCUUGUCUCACUUACCAACUGUGGGCUGGGAGCAGGGAGGCUGGGAAACUCGAUGGGAACAGAGUUUCUUUUGGGGUUUUUGGUGGUGGUUGUUUUUUGCUUUUGAGGGUCGCACCUGCCACAUAUGGAAGUUCCCAGGCUGAGGGAUUGAAUCAGAGCUGCAGCUGCCAGCCUACGCUACAGCCACAGCAAAGCAAGAUCUGAGCCACAUCUGUGACUUACACUGCAGUGUACAGCAAUGCCAGAUCCUUAACCCACUGAACGGGGCCAGGGAUUGAACCCGCAUCCUCAUGGAUGCUAGUCGGGUUCUUAACCCACUGAGCUGCAACAGGAACUCCAGCCACUGAAGUAUUUUUAAAAUGGUUAAUUUCAUGUUCUAGGAAUUUCACCUCACUAAAAAUAUUAUUAAUAAUAAUAAUAAUUUAAAAGUCAGUUUCUCAGUAGCACUAGCCAUAGUUUAAGCACCCCGUAGCCAUAUGUGGCUAGUGGGUCCCAAACCAAAGGUCAUAGAUACAGAAUAUACCCAUCACAACAGGGAGUUUUUUAUUUAUUUUUUUAAUUUAAUUUUAUUUUAUUUAUUUAUUUAUUUUUGUCUUUUUGCCUUUUCUUGGGCCGCUCCUGUGGCAAAUGGAGGUUCCCAGGCUAGGGGUCUAAUUGGAGCUGUAGCUGCUGGCCUAUGCCAGAGCCACAGCAACGACCCGAGCCACAUCGGCAACCUACACCACAGCUCAUGGCAACGCCGGAUCCUUAACCCGCUGAGCGAGGCCAGGGAUCGAACCCACAACUUCAUAGUUCCUAGUUGGAUUCGUUAACCACUGAGCCAUGACGGGAACGCCUGCCCAUCCUACUUCUGAUGAGUAAGCAAAAACAAAAAACCAUGGGGCAUAUGCAGGGUGAGGAGGAACAAGGGGCUCGGCGCAGACCCUGAGCAAUUCCAGCAGAUGCCCACUGGGUCAGAGUAACCGCUGACCCCUCAGAACAGAGAUCCGGCCCAUCAGAACAGAGGUCCUACCCGUCAGAACACCCAGAACAGCCAAAUAGGGCCCAGCUGGCUGCAUGAGGCCCUGGAGAGAACUCCCCCUGGACAGGGGCCACCAUGGGGGGACAAGAAUGCAGGGUGGGACGAGAAUACUGGCUCCAGCCCAGCCCUUCCCUCACUCGCCCCCUUCUCAUCUGUCUUAUCGGCUGAGUUCCCACAAGCCACAUCAUUUGAAAACAGGAUCGCCUUACUCUAAAAACACCCAUGGUGAAAAGCCUUGAUCUAUGAGAGCUUCACCACAGGGGCUCUGUUGGCCCUUGGGGCGGGACAACUCUUGGUCAUGCAGGGCUGGGCUGGACGUUACCCAGUAAAUGCCAAUAGCAACCCCAGUGGUCCUGAUGACCAAACCCGGGCAGGCGCAGGCUACGCCUCCAGCUGAGGGGCACUUCUUGCCCAACUCUCCCUGCUUUACAGGUGGAACACGGAGACCCUAGACCUUGAGUGACCAGCCUAAGGCCACAGCGCAGCAGGCGAGUGGAGGACAGAAGAGCCAAGAGAAGUGGUGGCUCAAUUUCCCAGAAGUGGGCAGGAGGGAGGAUGGGGUCCCUUUCAGAGAGGCUGGUGUGGGCACACAUACCCUUAACUGCCACCAGCUGGAAGUACUAGGACAGGUAGCCCCCCUGUGGCCUGAACCCUCAGCAUCCUGAGAAGCACAGAAGGGCCAUUCUGGGGCCAAGCAGAGGCUGCCACCACCUCAGUGGCCCUCGGGGCAAGCGCCCAGCAGUUCCCAGGCCGAGGCUCCCAGCUCCCUCCCAGCAGAGGACAAUUGCUCCAUUGGCCAGGGUGGGGGAGAGGAGAUUCGCUGGCCCCCGCCCGGCCCAGCUUCUCCCCACCCGAACCCGCUCCUUAAUGAGGCCAUUGUUUGCCCAGGGUUCCCCGUACAGCAGGACCCCCACCCCUGGCACUCCUGCCCUGGGUUUCCCCUCAGCGGUCCUGCCCUCCAGGACCUCCUGGGGGCUUCCUGACUUCCUCUCUUGCACUAGGAGCACAAAGGGCCCUGGGGCCUCUCUGACCUCCAGUUCCCCUCCCAGGGCCACUCACUUCCCUCUCCCAGCCUCUGUUUUUUAAAUUAAUCAAAGAUGCAUGGACCGCCAAUUGACUUCUGUUCAGCCUGAGAGAAGGAGUUCCAUCCUGAGAGCGUGUAAUUCCAGCCAAAAGCAAAGAAAUCUGCUGUUUUAUUUACGGGCAAAUGAACCAUUCUAUGUUGAUUUGGGGAAACAUGGAGAAUAGCUUAUCAAGCUUUGUAACGCCUCCCCAGACCCUGGGUGGUCAGGAAUCAGCAGAAUAGAGAACAGCUUUCAGCAGAAACAUUUCAUUUCCCAAGAGCCCCCAUGCAGCCACAGCCGGGGCUGAGAGAGGGGCACGUGCACUGCCCCCUGCCCCACCCCACCCCCACCCCCCAUUGCACAGAACAUUCUCAACACUUAGACUGGAGCAGUUUGAAGCAUCUUCAGGUUUUUCUCACUUCAUCUUACCAACAAAUUGGCAAAUUAAAGUCCCUGAUUUGCAGAUGGGGAAACUGAGGCACCGCAAGUUGUAUGGGAACAGGAGUUCCCACACAAGCAGUGGAGGCAAAAGCCUAAUGAUAAUAGGUCCUUUGACUCUGAGUCCAGGGAUCCUCUUCUUCUCUGCAGAGCUUUGGGGUACCUCUCCACACCCCCUCCAGGAACACACUCUAGUUGUGAUCCUGUUUUGCAUAUUUGUUCAUUGCGGCUGCCCCUCUGGAUCUCAUGCUGCCUGGAGGCAGAACCAGGCUGCCCAGGGUCAAACCUGCUGCAGCCUCAUGGCCUGCGUCCCACUCACAGGUCUGCUCUGGUCCCAGGGUCCUCCUCCCCUAUGAAGCAGUUUGGGUAAUUGCUCAAAGGGAAGGAACACCCUCCAGUCACCUCUCACGUGCAGGCAGGAAGACAAAGCAAAGACAAAGCCCUGGGUUCAAGUUCUGACUCGGCUUUUUGGCUGCUUGACUCUGCACAGUAACUGAACAUCUCUGGGUCUCAGUGUUCUCAUAUUAAAUGGGAUGGCAGUGCCUCCUUCACGGUGCUAUUGGAAUAAUUAAACGAGGUAAUGUAUGGGAAAGCACAGAGCAUCAGGCCAGGAAUCCAGGAUCCCCGAAACGAGUGUUCAAGAGAGGAGGGGGUGGAGUCCACAUGAGUUCAGGAGGCCUGUCUGUCUCCACCAGCUCUCCCCACAGUCACCCUAUCGCUCUCCAGAUCUUCUCUGGGCCUUUCAAGAAUUCCAACAGGGGAGUUCCCAUCAUGGCUUAGCAGUAACGAACCCAACUAGUACCCGUGAGGAUGCGGGUUCGAUCCCUGGCCUUGCUCAGUGGGUUAAGGAUCCGGCAUUGCCAUGAGCUGUGGUGUAGUUCGCAGAUGCAGCUUGGAUCCCGAGUUGCUGUGGCUGUGGUGUAGGCCAGUGGCCACAGCUCCAAUUGGACCCCUAGCCUGGGAACUUCCAUAUGCCACACCUGCAGCCCUAAAAAGAUUUUAAAAAAAGAAGAAUUCCAACAGAACGCAAGAAAGGUUAAAGGAAGCUGGCUCUGCCCUGAGCCAUCUGGAUCCAAAGACUCCUUUCUUUUGCCACUUUCAUCCACCAAGUAUUCAUCGACUCAUUCAGUCAUUCACUUGUGAAACAUAUAGGGAGCAUCUACCAUGUGACUGGCAGUUUGCUAGGAGCCAGAGAGGCAGAGACAGGCAAGUCUUACCCUUGCAGUACCCUCAGCCUACCAGGAAGCUAGAAACUGAGAAAAUCGACCUAGUGAGAUGACGACAGGAGACAAGGGCUGCAAAGGGAGGGCUGGGGUCCUCUAAGCGCACCCACCCAGGACGCCUGGCCUCCCUUGGGAGCCUUGGGAGGAACUUCUUUUUUUUCCUGGCAGCACCCACGGCGUGUGGAAGUUCCCGGACCAGGGAUCAAACCUGUGCCACAACUGUGAUAAUGCCAGAUCCUUCACUGCUGGCCAAGGGGAAAUCAAGAACUUCAUGCUAAGAGCAAUCAGAGCAACUGAGGGUCUCGAGCUGAAGGGG